rnacentral:rRNA from 1 species
UACGAAGGUCCCAAGCGUUAUCCGGAUUUAUUGGGUUUAAAGGGUGCGUAGGCGGGCUAUUAAGUCAGUGGUGAAAUCUCCGAGCCUAACUCGGAAAUUGCCAUUGAUACUGAUGGUCUUGAGUACAUUUGAAGUGGGCGGAAUGUGUCAUGUAGCGGUGAAAUGCUUAGAUAUCGAGAGGAACACCUGCGGCGAAGGCGGGUUGCUGGGCUGACACUGACGCUGAGGCGCGAAAGCCAGGGGAGCGAACGGG